AAUUUCUAUAAUUUUACACUUUUCUUCCUUUUCUACCCUUAUAGAAACCAGAACUGAUGAUUGAAUGGUUUAAGCGAAUUGAAGACGUCCCCUUCGUUUCCACUCCCAUCCCCUCUUUAAUCUCCAUUACAACCUGGAACCCUAGCAAAGUUCAAUUCACGCUCUCUCCAAUCUCAUUUUUUUCUCUCCAUCUGGAACCCUAGCCUCCUCUAUCCCUCUCGAUUUGGAUGACGAAUAACUGGAGAUGUAGAACACCGAUUUGAAGAAACCCUAACCGAUUUUCUCGUGUUUUGAUUGGCAUGAUGACGGGUCAACUAUGGUCGGAUGAUUGUGACCAUAUAUGUCAACAAAUAUGCUCUUCUCUGGUUGAGUCUUGUAUUGCAAGUACUCUUCAUUUCCAUCUAUUGAGCUGGCUCACCAAUAUAGUUGUUGAGGUGCGUGGCAUUGCGUGUUCCUACGAGUUCAGCAUGUUUUUUUAAUUUUGAGGUUAAGGUGGUCUUAAAGGUGUUAGACAAGUCAUUCUAACCUGGGCCGAUCUGUUAUAAGUUGGUACGCUUUUUUUAGUUACUUAAUUUAAGCUCUGUUUUUAUAGUUGUUUGUUUUAGCUGCAGCAUAGGGUCUGGUUUUAUCGUUGGCAUGUGCCUUCUUUCUAUUGGCGUUACGUUUGUGCUUUAUGAGAAUCCGCAUGUUAAUUUGUUUUUGUUCAGGUACGUUACGUGUGAUUUGGUUUCCGACAUUUGCUUUUUUUUUGUUUGUUUGCUUAUUACAGUAUUAGCUGUCAGUCGAUGAGUUUGAUGUUACUACACUGAGGAGUGAAGUGGUUAGGGGUUGUUGCUCCUUUUCUUUGCUUACAAAUUUAUCUGAGCUAAUGAAGGUUUUGUAUUUAAGGAUAAGUUAGUCUCAUGAGAAGAUAUAUUGUCAGUCGAUGAGUUUGACAAACCAUAUUGUUGCUGUAAUGAUGUAAAUCUUUUAAUAAAGUCGAUGUAAGAGGUUCUGCAUUCAAAUUCAACAUGCCCCCUUUUUGCUUAUUUUUUUAUUUUACCCAUUUGAAAUACAACACAACCCAAUUGCCCCAUUCUAGGGAUGGCAAUCAAACCCGAACCCGCUGGGUAAACCCGAAACCCGACACAUUUGGGACGGGUUUGGGGUCGGUUAAUUGGGUUUGGGACGAGUUUGGGAAUAGUUUUUAUUUUUUUCGUGGGGUUGGGACGGGUUUGGGAUUUAGUGAUAUACCCGUUUACCCGACCCAAUUACCCGAUAAAGUGUACUCGUUUACCCGAUUGUAUACCCGAUAUAAUUUCUUUUAUAUUAUUAAAUAUGUGUAUAUAUGAUACAUCCAUGUUUUACACAUAUAGAUAUUCUAUUCCGUAUACAUUAUAGUUAUUUGAUAUAUAUUUUUAUAAUGACAGUACAAAAUGUAACCGGUUAGUAGUUACCCGAUAAAUACCCAAUGGGUUUUGAGGUGAGUAUACCCAACGAGUAAUCUUUUUAAAUUAACGGGUUUACCCGAAACCCGCGGGUAUACCCGAUACCCGAUGGGUAUUUACCCGCUAGAAACCCGACGGGUUUUGGGACGGGUUUGGGACAAGCUUAUCUAACCGGGUUUGGGUUUGGGAUUACCUAAACCCGUCCCAAACCCGACCCAUUGCCAUCCCUACCCCAUUCAAGUAUAUGUGUCCAAGUUGCCACCUAUUUAAAUAAGCCAUUGAACUGAAUUUCAAAAAAUGCAAUGUGGUUUGUUUUUAUUUGGGAAAUUUGGUGAUAUGUGUAUGUGGGUAUAUGAAUCAUAUAUUUACUUUAUCUGAACGGGUCAAAUGAUUGACGGAUUAAAAAAGGGGUUGUGAAGCUAUAGAUAUUUUACAAAAAAAAAAUGAUUAAUAUGAUGAUUAUUAUUUAUGAUUCUUGAAAUUAGAUAGCGAUUUUCACGCCUGUAAAGUCAAUUGUAAUAGCUUAGCUGCCUGCUAAGUUUUGUCUUUGUUUGUUUUAUAAAGUUUCUCUUAUAUAUAACAAAUUUGGGUGCUAAGCUACACUACACCUAAUUUUUUAUGUAUGAUAAUUUUCUAUUGCACCCCUUAGUUGUUAAUAUAUAAUUCAUACGGCCUCUUAAGUUUAUUUAUUUAUUUUUUGUUAUGGAAGAAAUUGGUACUAGAGGAUACGAACGAGUGUAAGGAACCGAAAUUGAAAUUCUGGUGAUGGAGGUUUCAGUUCCACGUGGAACCGUUUGUCGGAAUAGAGAUGAAGGCGUUACGAUAUCCGACACCGGUUAGAGAAAACGAUUUAACUCUCCAGAUAACGUUUCUCAUAUCAGGUGUGCCAGUAAUGAGUUAUCCGUCUUUGAUUGUCGAUGGCAAUUAUUAACAUUCAAUUAGAGCAAAGGUGGUGGUGGAAGCAACAUGUAGCAGCUUCUUGUUGAAUUCUUGACUAGAAAUCAUGAGCCGUGGUGUCAGCAGUGGAUGGGGACAGAGUUCACUUGACUACCUCUUCAGAAGUGAUGAGCCAAAACCCACUACUAGAAAGAUAGAGGUGGUGGCUAGAGCUCCGGAAGAGCAUGAGCCACUACCUAAGCCUACAGCCGUUGUAUACUAGCCAAAUGAUACAAACGGAUUCUUGAUUCCUACCAGGAUCCAUGGUGGCUAAUAACUUCUAUCAGACCUGAUGGUCAGAAGACUGGCAACUUCCUCACUGUAUGAUUUAUCAUUUUUAGAAACUUAAAUUAUGACUUUAUGUUAUGUAUAUUUAUGAUUGUUUACAUGUUCUGGUUAUGUGCAUGAUCGACCCUCAACUAAGGUUCAUGCAGCACUAGGUGCUGGUCCUUCUUAAGGUUAUUUGUUUAGUGGUGGUGAUAGCAAUUGAAACCAUAUUGAGCUGUUUGAUGUCAUUUUAGACUUUGGUUAUGGUGUCAACAAAUUCUGCUUUCGUUUUCUUGGUGCUUAUUGACUUUUAGAUUUGUAAUAUGUAUUUUUUUAUUGUAUUAUAUCAAUCAUUCCAACUUUCCCCUUAUUAUUA